rnacentral:rRNA from 1 species
GAGUUUGAUCAUGGCUCAGGAUGAACGCUGGCGGCGUGCUUAACACAUGCAAGUCGAGCGAAGCACUUACUUUGGAUUUCUUCGGAAUGACGAGGUAUUUGACUGAGCGGCGGACGGGUGAGUAACGCGUGGGCAACCUGCCUCACACAGGGGGAUAACAGUUAGAAAUGACUGCUAAUACCGCAUAAGACCACGGCACCGCAUGGUGCAGGGGUAAAAACUCCGGUGGUGUGAGAUGGGCCCGCGUCUGAUUAGGUAGUUGGUGCGGUAACGCGCACCAAGCCGACGAUCAGUAGCCGACCUGAGAGGCGACCGGCCACAUUGGGACUGAGACACGGCCCAAAUCCUACGGGAGGCAGCAGUGGGGAAUAUUGCACAAUGGGGGAAACCCUGAUGCAGCGACGCCGCGUGAAGGAUGAAGUAUCUCGGUAUGUAAACUUCUAUCAGCAGGGAA